GGCCUCCUCCUCCAACAGUGCCAAGCCCCGGCGUCGUCCCCUCCCAGCCAUGACGGCCAUCCCGUCCUGCCUGGCUGCACGCCGCCGUCGUGGUGCCCACCGCGCGCUCCCCUGCUCCGACCGAAUCCGCGCGCCGCCACCGUCGUGGCCACGCCCAGGACGCCCCGACCGGCUCUGUGUUGCCGCUGGCCCUCCCUCCUUGCUUCGGUGGCCGGUCGCUGCUCUCCCCGCCGCGACUCCCUUUCCCGACGCUGACUCGCGUCCCCUGCGCCCGCCAGCCAGCAGUGCUGCCCUACUUUCAACAUCCCUAGUCGUUGUCCGUACGCUGGCCUCCAGCGCCGCGCCACGUCCUCCUGUCGUCGCCCUUGCGAGCUCCACUGCUCCGUGCCUCCUCCUCGUUGAUUGUGUUGCUGCCCUCCUACUAGUGUUGCCUCCGUCCUCGCCAGUUCCAAGGCUUCACCCCCGCCAUACAUGAGCUUUGACUCGCCCGCCGCUCACGUGGCUCCUGGCUUUCCCUGACCCCCUCCUGGCUUCGCUCAUUUCCGUCGGGAUCGCUGUGCGCGCCGUGCUCCACGACGGCUAGCUUGCACGGGGCACCUUCGUGGCUUUUGAUCACGCCAUGAGCCCUAUCCUCCGUGACUGUGUCGAGCUUCACCCAUAUGCAGGCCACCACGUGCAUGGACCACUUGUCUUUCCCAGAGCUGUGAUUAACUCUCUGGCGAUCAAGACCUUGUUGUCUCCCUCCCCUACUAGUGAUUGUGUCACAGCCCCUCCUGUGGCUCUUUCCGCGCACUCUGUGGCUUCUCCACCCUCUCCCACCAAUUGUGUGAUCGACUCUAGAGCCUCCUUCCACACUACUCCUAUCACCAGCUCGUUAUUCCACUCCCACCCACCACACC
rnacentral:misc_RNA from 1 species